rnacentral:rRNA from 1 species
GUGCCAGCCGCCGCGGUAAUACCGGCAGCUCAAGUGAUGGCCGAUCUUAUUGGGCCUAAAGCGUCCGUAGCUGGCCUCGCAAGUCCGUCGGGAAAUCCAGUAGCUCAACUACUGGGCGUCCGGCGGAAACUACACGGCUUGGGGCCGAGAGACUCGACGGGUACGUCCGGGGUAGGAGUGAAAUCCUGUAAUCCUGGACGGACCACCAAUGGGGAAACCACGUCGAGAGACCGGACCCGACAGUGAGGGACGAAAGCCAGGGUCUCGAACCGGAUUAGAAACCCUAGUAGUCC